AUUUUGAAGACACAUGCACAGAUUCCCACACAAACGGCAUGAAUGUUUUACUAGGACUGAAGUGGGAGCUCUGCUGGUAACUUCAACCCAAGAAUGACUCCACACAAGAAGUGACAGACUCUCCUUGUGUUGUUGGAAUGAGAACAGCUGUGAUUGGACACAUUACUAUCAGCACGUUCUCUGGAGGGUCUGUACUUGGGGUCUUAUAACAGCCUAAGGCGCACUCUAGUGGACACACAACAAACUGGAAUGAGGAUACAAAUGUUAUGGAAGAAUAGAUAAUGAAAGCCACUGGUUGGAAUUAGUGAUUAGACUUAUUUAUUAGCAUGUUUAAAGUUGUCUUAAGUACUUAGGCAAUAUGUUUAAGUUAUAUAUGAAGGCUGAAGUUUCCAUAGAAAACAUAAUAAAAGGACUGAAAUAAAAACACUGGCUCAAAUGAAAACCUUCAUCUGUUCAUCCAGCCAGUCCAUUCAAGGCUGGCACAAGAAGUUGCUGUGUAUACAUCAUUAAUAUAUUUUAAUUAGAUUAAUAAUGAUAUUUAGUAGAGAUGAUCAACACAGUGCAAAUUCAGUAAUUUUAAGAUCUGACUAACCAAAAUGAAUAUACUGACUCCUGCAGCUCACCUAUUAUCACGCAGUAAUCAGUAAAGAUUUUAAAUUGUAGAGCAAACAAUUAGUGUCAUUAAAAAGUACCUCAUGAUUUCUGACAGACUGACUUCUUUUAGUACAUGUUUCUACUAAGUCCUUCCAGUACUUGAAGGGAGCGUUUAAACAGGAGAGGGUAUGACUGUUUGUGAGGGUGGAUAG